AUGUUAUAUCAAACCUCCUACUCUGAUGUAAAAAGUGGAAGUAUUGAAGCCUGAGUGACAGGCCCUGAGCCGAAACUUCUAAUUCAGUAUGUAAUCAUUAGUGAAAUAUAUAUGGAAGACGG